AUUACUCCUACGGGAGGCAGCAGUGGGGAAUUUUGGACAAUGGGCGCAAGCCUGAUCCAGCCAUGCCGCGUGCGGGAAGAAGGCCUUCGGGUUGUAAACCGCUUUUGUCAGGGAAGAAACGGCUCUUUCUAAUACAGAGAGCUAAUGACGGUACCUGAAGAAUAAGCACCGGCUAACUACGUGCCAGCAGCCGCGGUAAUAAU
rnacentral:rRNA from 1 species